AUGCUCCGACUCAGGUGCUGCCUCCUCACCCAGCUCCUCUCAUCUCCCUCCGCGUCUUCCGCCUCCCACCUCCGCCGCCUCAUAUCCGCCGCCGCGCCCGCCGUCUCCCCGAACCCUAGCUUCGCCGUGGAGGAGUACCUCGUCGCCACCUGCGGCCUCACCCGACCACAGGCCGCCAAGGCCUCUCCAAAGCUCUCCCAUCUCAAAUCCCCCGACAACCCCGACGCCGUCCUCUCCUUCCUCGCUGGUCUCGGCCUCUCCACCGCCGAUGUCGCCGCCCUCGUCGCCAAGGACCCGCAGUUCCUCUGCGCCAAAGUGGACAAGACCCUGGCCCCCGUCGUCGCCGGGCUCACUGGCCUCGGCCUCUCGCGCUCCGACAUCGCGCGCCUCGUCUCGCUCUCCCGUAAAAGCUUCCGCUAUAGAUCCAUCGUCUCCAAGCUGCACUACUACAUGCCUCUCUUUGGGUCCUCUAAGAACCUCCUCCGGGCCCUCAAGAGGAACCCCUACCUUCUCUCGUCUGACCUCGACGGCAUCGUCAAGCCCAAUGUCGCUUAUCUGCACGAGUGCGGGCUAGGUGCUUGUGACAUUGCCAAGCUAUGCAGCAAUCAACCGCGCCUGCUCACCACCAAUCCAGAGUGCAUCCAGGGCAUUGUGGCACGCGCUCAAAACAUAGGUGUGCCCCGUGGCUCUGCGAUGUUCAGGCACGCGCUGCAUGCUAUUGCAUUCCAUAGUGAGGAGGAGGUCGCAGCUAGAGUAGACUACUUGAAGAGCACAUUCAGGUGGUCGGAUGCUGAGGUGGGCAUUGCUGUGUCUAAAGCUCCAUCGGUGCUGACGAGGGCCAAGGAAUCGCUGCAGCGCAGGUCCGAGUUCCUCAUCUCUGAGGUGGGCUUGGAACCGGCUUACAUUGCUCAACAGCCAGCAAUUGUCUGCUACAGCCUAGAGGGCCGGCUCAGGCCCCGGUACUAUGCUGUAAAGUUUCUCAACGAAAAUGGAUUGCUCAAGCGCAACCCGAGCUACAGCACUGUUUUCACGGGGACCGAAAAGACAUUCAGGGAGAAGUUCAUAUGCCCUCAUAAGGAAGCUGCACCACACCUCCAAGAAGACUAUGAUGCUGCUUGUAAAGGGCAACUGCCGACUAAUUUCAGAUUCACACGAGCCAAGAACGGACUAUGA
rnacentral:rRNA from 1 species